AAGUCGUAACAAGGUUUCCGUAGGUGAACCUGCGGAAGGAUCAUUACAGAGAACGUGCCCCACGGGUACAAUCUCCCUCCCUGUGUUUACAGCCCCUGUUGCUUUGGUGGGCCCGUCACUAGACCACCGGCUCCGGCUGGUCAGUGCCCGCCAGAGGACCCCAACCCUUUUUAACGAUGUCUGAGUAUUAUACAAAUAUAUAAAACUUUCAACAACGGAUCUCUUGGUUCUG
rnacentral:misc_RNA from 1 species